rnacentral:misc_RNA from 1 species
GAUGAAGAACGCAGUGAAAUGCGAUACUUGGUGUGAAUUGCAGAAUCCCGUGAACCAUCGAGUCUUUGAACGCAAGUUGCGCCCGAAGCCAUUAGGCCGAGGGCACGCCUGCCUGGGCGUCACACGUCGUUGCCCCCCCCCAUCUACUCCUUCGGGAUUGCGGGGGGCGGAUGAUGGCCUCCCGUGCGCCUCGCCGCGCGGUUGGCAUAAAUGCCAAGUCCUCGGCGACGCACGCCACGACAAUCGGUGGUUGCGAAACCUCGGUUGCCCGUCGUGUGCGGUCGUCGCGCAUCGAGGGCUCGAAAAAAUUGCCGAGUUCCGGCUCGGCUUUCAACGCGACCCCAGGUCAGGCGGGGUUACCCGCUGAAUUUAAGCAUAUCAAUAAGCGGAGGA